UACAGGGGGGGGCAAGCGUUUGUUCGGAAUUACUGGGCGUAAAGGGCUCGUAGGCGGCCAACUAAGUCCGACGUGAAAUCCCCAAGCUUAACUUGGGAACUGCGUCGGAUACUGGAUGGCUUGAAUUCGGGAGAGGGAUGCAGAAUUCCAGGUGUGAGCGGUGAAAUGCGUAGAUAUCUGGAGGAAUACCGGUGGCGAAGGCGGCAUCCUGGACCGACAUUGACGCUGAGGAGCGAAAGCUAGGGGAGCAAACGGG
rnacentral:rRNA from 1 species